rnacentral:lncRNA from 1 species
CCGGCUACAACGCAAUCAAUAGCAUUGAGCACUUGCGCCACUAAAUUUUUUGUCGUUAAAUAUACCCUAUUUUUCAUUUCUAUCUCUUAGAUCAUACUAUUUCACAAAUCACCUACUAAACCCAAGGGACCAUCAUCAUCCUAACAGUACAUUAAUUUAUCCAAAGGCCGAAAUCUUAAUAACAACAAUGUCUUGAUACUAUUAAUAAUAUUCUAAUCUAGUUCACUAAUAUAUAUAUAUAGAGAGAGAAAGAGAGAGUGAGGUUACUAUGCUUCUGGAAGUACGAAGCCUUCCGUGCUUCUGGAAGUACGAAGCCUUCCGUGCUUCCAAGUCUUUUUUUAUGUUGCGACUUUUGAAUUGUCAAUCGGCUCCGUUAAAUUUGAUCUAGAGUAUUUGAAAUACUUAAAAAAUAGGCUAAAUUACAGAAAACCCCCCUAUAAUAACCCGCUUUUUCACUUUCCCCCCUGACAUUUAAAAACCUACACUUUGCCCCCCUGUAAAAUGAAAAAUAUUCACAGGGGGGUUACGGUGUGUAAAAUGACCAUUUUGCCCCUCGCCAUUGUCGUCUUCUUCCCCAUCUUCUCUCCUCACUCUCCUCCGCCGGCAUCGCGGGGCGCCAAACUCACUCCGGCGAGUUUCUCUUCG